rnacentral:rRNA from 1 species
CAGGGGAUCGCAAGACCUUGCGCUAAAGGAGCGGCCGAUGUCUGAUUAGUUAGUUGGUGGGGUAAAGGCCUACCAAGGCAACGAUCAGUAGCUGGUCUGAGAGGACGAUCAGCCACACUGGGACUGAGACACGGCCCAGACUCCUACGGGAGGCAGCAGUGGGGAAUUUUGGACAAUGGGCGAAAGCCUGAUCCAGCCAUGCCGCGUGAAUGAAGAAGGCCUUCGGGUUGUAAAGUUCUUUUAGUUGGAAAGAAAAAAUUAUGAUGAAUAAUCAUAAUUCAUGACGGUACCGACAGAAAAAGCACCGGCUAACUACGUGCCAGCAGCCGCGGUAAUACGUAGGGUGCAAGCGUUAAUCGGAAUUACUGGGCGUAAAGGGUGU